UGGGCAACCUGCCCCUGACACUGGGAUAACCCCGGGAAAACCGGAGCUAAUACCGGAUACUCCGGCUGGAUCGCAUGGUCCGGCCGGGAAAGGUCCGCCGGAGAGGGAUGGGCCCGCGGCCUAUCAGCUUGUUGGUGGGGUCAUGGCUCACCAAGGCGACGACGGGUAGCUGGUCUGAGAGGACGACCAGCCACACUGGAACUGAGAUACGGUCCAGACUCCGUACGGGAGGCA
rnacentral:rRNA from 1 species